rnacentral:rRNA from 2 species
AAUCCAUAGGUUAAUGAGGCGAACCGGGGGAACUGAAACAUCUAAGUACCCCGAGGAAAAGAAAUCAACCGAGAUUCCCCCAGUAGCGGCGAGCGAACGGGGAGGAGCCCAGAGCCUGAAUCAGCAUGUGUGUUAGUGGAAGCGUCUGGAAAGGCGCGCGAUACAGGGUGACAGCCCCGUACACAAAAGCGCAUGUGCUGUGAGCUCGAUGAGUAGGGCGGGACACGUGGUAUCCUGUCUGAAUAUGGGGGGACCAUCCUCCAAGGCUAAAUACUCCUGACUGACCGAUAGUGAACCAGUACCGUGAGGGAAAGGCGAAAAGAACCCCGGCGAGGGGAGUGAAAAAGAACCUGAAACCGUGUACGUACAAGCAGUGGGAGCCCCACCACCAAAGCAUUUGCUGUACCG